rnacentral:rRNA from 1 species
UGGGUGAGUAACGCGUGGGUAACCUGCCCUUAAGUCUGGGAUACCAUUUGGAAACAGAUGCUAAUACCGGAUAAAAGCUACUUUCGCAUGAAAGAAGUUUAAAAGGCGGCGUAAGCUGUCGCUAAAGGAUGGACCUGCGAUGCAUUAGCUAGUUGGUAAGGUAACGGCUUACCAAGGCGAUGAUGCAUAGCCGAGUUGAGGGACUGAUCGGCCACAUUGGGACUGAGACACGGCCCAAACUCCUACGGGAGGCAGCAGGA